CAAAUCCUACUAUGAUAGAAGAAUUGUAGGAUGCCCUGGAGCUGAAGGAGAAGAUGAGCAUGAUGUUGUUUGGUUCUGGCUCGAGAAGGGCAAGCCACAUGAAUGCCCAAUAUGCUCACAGUAUUUUGUGUUGGAAGUGGUUGGACCUUGAGGACCUCCUGAUGGACAUGGUAGUGAUGAUGAGGGUCAUCACUGAUAGUAUGUCUU